rnacentral:misc_RNA from 4 species
GUGUGCGUCGACGAUCUGCCGAUCGUGUCGCUGCGCGCCGAGGACGCGAGCGGCGCGUUCGGCAUCCGCGCGGGCCACGUCGAUUUCGUCACGCUGCUGCGCGCGUCAGUCGUGCGCUGGCGCACCGCCGACGGCGCGACGCAUUACGCGGCGCUUGACGGCGGCGUGCUGCGCGUGACGCGCGGCGCGCGCAUCGAGAUCGCGUGCCGCGACGCGGUGCUGGGCGAGUCGCUCGCCGAGCUCGAGGCGGUGGUGCGCGGCGUGCGCGCGACGCAGCUCGACGAGAAGCGCCGCGCGCGCGUCGAC